GGAGAGGUGCAAGAGUGGCUGAAUUGGCUACCCUGGAAAGGUAGUGUAUCCGCAAGGGUACCGUGGGUUCGAAUCCCACCUUCUCCGCUA
rnacentral:tRNA from 1 species